UACGGGGGGAGCAAGCGUUGUUCGGAUUUACUGGGCGUAAAGGGCGCGUAGGCGGCCUGCUAAGUCGGACGUGAAAUCCCUCGGCUCAACCGAGGAACUGCGUCCGAUACUGGUGGGCUUGAAUCCGGGAGAGGGAUGUGGAAUUCCAGGUGUAGCGGUGAAAUGCGUAGAUAUCUGGAGGAACACCGGUGGCGAAGGCGGCAUCCUGGACCGGUAUUGACGCUGAGGCGCGAAAGCUAGGGGAGCAAACGGG
rnacentral:rRNA from 1 species